rnacentral:rRNA from 1 species
UUUUCACAAUAUGGCAUUAUGGCCUGAUCUCAUCAGAUCUCAGAAGCUAAGCAGGGCUGGGCUUGGUUAGUACAAGAGAAUUAGAAAUGUUAAUGA